UACGGGGGAGCAAGCGUUGUUCGGAUUUACUGGGCGUAAAGGGCGCGUAGGCGGUCAGCACAAGUCAGUUGUGAAAUCUCCGGGCUUAACUCGGAAAGGUCAACUGAUACUGUGCGACUAGAGUGCAGAAGGGCAACUGGAAUUCUCGGUGUAGCGGUGAAAUGCGUAGAUAUCGAGAGGAACACCUGCGGCGAAGGCGGGUUGCUGGGCUGACACUGACGCUGAUGCGCGAAAGCCAGGGGAGCGAACGGG
rnacentral:rRNA from 1 species